rnacentral:rRNA from 1 species
AAAGUAGGGUGCAAGCGUUGCCCGGAUUUAUUGGGCGUAAAGUGUUUCGUAGGCGUUUUGGCAAGUCGUGCUUCAAAGGCUUCGGCUCAACCGUGGAAAGGGGCGCGAUACUGUCAGGAUUGAAGAAUGUCGGGGUCACUGGAACUCACGGUGUAGGGGUGAAAUCCGUUGAUAUCGUGAAGAACUCCGAAGGCGAAGGCGGGUGACUAGGCAAAUCUUGACGCUGAGGAACGAAAGCUAGGGGAGCGAAUGGG